UCCCGCGAACCAUCGAGUCUUUGAACGCAAGUUGCGCCCGAGGCCAUUCGGYCGAGGGCACGCCUGCCUGGGCGUCACGC
rnacentral:rRNA from 1 species